rnacentral:rRNA from 1 species
CCUGACGACCAUAGCAAGGUGGAACCACUCCUUCCCAUCCCGAACAGGACAGUGAAACGCCUUUGCGCCGAUGAUAGUGGACGGACGUCUGUGAAAGUAGGUCAUUGUCAGGC